AGCGGAAUUCGUGAGACCUUUUUUUUUAACCACAACGUUAUGAUUUACAUAGCAGAAUUUGCAGGUGAGGACUGUGAGAAACAUGAAUCCAUGUAGAUGAAUAAAUACAACUGUACAUGGCCAAGAGAUCACUCAUGAAAUGUGAGAGAAAAUGAAAGAAAAAUCUUAGAAGAAAAUAAUAUUUAAAACAUGAUUAUCCAAAAGUUAUGGAGCAUGCUAAAGCAGUAAAAGAGUGAAGUUGAUAAAUUCUACACAUCUCAAGUAAUCAACAUAACCUACAAUCUAAAGCAUUUAGAGAAAGAAGAAAAAUCAGGCAAAAUUCCCCAAAGUGAAUAGAAGGGGAAAAAAUGAUAAAAAUCAAAGCAGAAAUUUAAAAAAAAGAAAUGAUAAAAACAAUAGCCAAAAUCAGUAUCACUAAAAAGGGUCUCUUGGAGAGGAGAAGUAAAAU
rnacentral:sRNA from 1 species